CAGGAAGUGACAUAGCAGGGAGACUCAUAUAUAAAAAAGGGCAAGAAGGAAAUGGGCCCCUUCUCUCUUCCUCCAGAGUCACCAUGUGAUCUCGGGAUGAGGACGACAAUGGAAGAAUUGUUAGAUUUUUUCGGCACCUAUUGGAUAAGCAGAAUAAUUUUAAAUCUCAGGUCACUCACACCAACUUCUUUGAUGGAGCUACUGGAGACUGGGAAGCAUCUCAGCCAACAAAAGCAGAGAUCAGGAAACACUUGGCAAUUUACAACUGCAGUGCCUCCUACGAGAUCCACAAGCUAGCAAAUGGCCCAACAACACCGGUUUUUUCCUGUCCCACCAUCCUCCUCUCAAAUCACUACACGGAGACUUACAAUUAAUUAUGAAUGCUUGGCCGAUAGCUUAGGCUUGUUUUUAACUAGCUCUUAAAUAAACUCAUAUCUUUUAAUCUAC
ensembl:lncRNA